GCUCAGGAUGAACGCUGGCGGCGUGCCUAAUACAUGCAAGUCGAGCGAAUGGAUUGAGAGCUUGCUCUUAUGAAGUUAGCGGCGGACGGGUGAGUAACACGUGGGUAACCUGCCCAUAAGACUGGGAUAACUCCGGGAAACCGGGGCUAAUACCGGAUAAUAUUUUGAACUGCAUGGUUCGAAAUUGAAAGGCGGCUUCGGCUGUCACUUAUGGAUGGACCCGCGUCGCAUUAGCUAGUUGGUGAGGUAACGGCUCACCAAGGCAACGAUGCGUAGCCGACCUGAGAGGGUGAUCGGCCACACUGGGACUGAGACACGGCCCAGACUCCUACGGGAGGCAGCAGUAGGGAAUCUUCCGCAAUGGACGAAAGUCUGACGGAGCAACGCCGCGUGAGUGAUGAAGGCUUUCGGGUCGUAAAACUCUGUUGUUAGGGAAGAACAAGUGCUAGUUGAAUAAGCUGGCACCUUGACGGUACCUAACCAGAAAGCCACGGCUAACUACGUGCCAGCAGCCGCGGUAAUACGUAGGUGGCAAGCGUUAUCCGGAAUUAUUGGGCGUAAAGCGCGCGCAGGUGGUUUCUUAAGUCUGAUGUGAAAGCCCACGGCUCAACCGUGGAGGGUCAUUGGAAACUGGGAGACUUGAGUGCAGAAGAGGAAAGUGGAAUUCCAUGUGUAGCGGUGAAAUGCGUAGAGAUAUGGAGGAACACCAGUGGCGAAGGCGACUUUCUGGUCUGUAACUGACACUGAGGCGCGAAAGCGUGGGGGAGCAAACAGGAUUAGAUACCCUGGUAGUCCACGCCCGUAACGAUGAGUGCUAAGUGUUAGAGGGUUUCCGCCCUUUAGUGCUGAAGUAACGCAUUAAGCACUCCGGCCUGGGGAGUACCG
rnacentral:rRNA from 1 species